rnacentral:rRNA from 1 species
GAAUUAGUCAUUUUUCACAUCUCGCACGAAAGUGGAGAUAAGGUUUAUCCAAGUGCGCUUAGCUUUGAAGAGCGGGGCCCAAGAAAAAAAUCUUGGAGAAUACUUGGGGGGAAAGACUGGUGCCAGCCGCCCCGGUAACACCAGCGCCACGAGGGGGGAUCCUGAUUAUUUGGCCUAAAGCGUCCGUAGCUGGUUUAGUAAAUCUCUUGGGAAAUCGUGGGGCUCAACCCACCGGCGGGCAGGGGAGACUCCUAAAUUAGGGACCGGAGGGAGUCAAAGGUUUGCCGGGGGAGGGGGUAAAAUGCUAUAAUCCCUAGAAAACCACCUGGGGGGAAGGCGUCUGACUAAAACGGGCCCAAAGUGAAGGAACAAAAGCCAGGGAAGCAACCCGAAUAAAAUACCCAAGUAGCCCUGGUUGUAAACGCUGCAAGCUAGGGUUUGCCAAUUCCCCCCGAAUGGGCAGGUUCGAAGCAAAGGGUUAAAGUUCGCCCCCCGGGGAGGAAUGUCCCCAAGAUCUGAAACUUAAAGGAAUUGGGGGGGGGAAAGGGCGAAUUCGGGCCCCUAAAUUAAUUCCGCCUUUUGGGGGCCGUAUUACAAUUCAUCGGCCGGCCUUUUUACAA